ensembl:rRNA 5S_rRNA 5S ribosomal RNA
GUCUAUGGCUAUGCCACCUUGAAUAAGCACGAUCUCUCUGAUCUCAGAAGCUAAGCAGGGUCGGGCCUGGUUAGUAAGUACUUGGAUGGGAGACCACCUAGGAAGACCAGGUGUUGUAGGUG